AGCCUCCCAUUGCCAGGCUCCAGCUCCCAGGUCACCUGGCAGUCACGUCCUGCUGAUGACCUUCUCUAAUAGAAGACCAUUUCGGAUGGAGCCACCACCAGAUCCAUGACAUCUGAGAAGGCUGAGGACUCCAGCUGGCAAGAGUGGCCGCUCGCAGGCCCCACUCAAAGACCUGUGGGUGGCGAGGGAUACCACAGAACGACAGCCACCUGGUCCCUAGGCAAGGAAGGCUCAACCAGACGAUCAUCCUUUUACCAAAGUGCUUUGGCAACAGUGUUCCUAUAAAAGUGCAUCGUCUUCAUGGGGAUUCAUGGAAAAGACUCUGACAGGACUUUCUGCUGGAGCAUCCGUGAGGAAGAGGAUGGACCGUGAACCCACAGUACCUUCAAGACCCAGAAGUUGUCUGGGUAAGAUGAAGCAGAUGAAAACUCUGGGCAUCUCCCAAGCCCGGAGGGAAGGCUGCUGUUUGAGCUGGAUGUGACUCCAGAAGGCACGGGUUGGGGCCUUCUGUGGCAGAAAUAACAGGGGAGAGUACCCCUGGGAUUUGGGUUCCAGCUCUGGACGGGGGCAGAAGCCCAGUAUACCCCCACAGAGAGACAGCUUCUAACGGGACACAUAGCACUCCUUUGGGUCAAGCCUCUCGUGAAGGAAGCAACACAUCAGGGAAAGAACUUCCCUCCCUACCAAAGGGUGAUUUGAGAGGACGUUCCGUCUGCCUACCUCUGCCAUGGUUCAAACCCCCCACUCUGAUGAAGUCCCAUGUCUGUUUGCAGCAGAAGAGCACCCCAUCUGCCAGCCUGCUGUCUCUAGAAAUAUGGGGGUUCUUGGGCCCUUUAUGGUAUGUAGAUUCUCCAGAUGCCCCGUCCUAAUUCCUGUGGCCAUCCUGCAGCCCGCAGAGUGGGCACAGGGGCAAUUCCUGUUGAUGCCUCAAAACAGGAACGAGCCACAGGAGCUGUAAGGCUGAACUCUGAGUGGCUUGGCUGGUGAUCACUCCUGAGCCCCCGCUGUUACCCUUGGCCCUGACAGUUGGGCUGUUCUACAGGGAUUGACCCUGUGGCUUGGACAAUAGGAAGCUGAGUGGUGGAUGAUCAGGAAUAAGCCCUCUUGGGUUCGAGAUAGGUUGGAAGGCACUUGGCUUCACCUUCCAGAACCUGAGGCAGUCUUCUCUGUCUUCUACAUCCUGGGCCUUAAGGCAGUGACACCCCCAGGCAAUGAGGCAGCUGAUGCCCCAGCGUGGGUACAAGCCCUAGCAACAGAUCCUCCAGUAGACACAACAGAGCAGGGUGCGUAGGAAGAGCGGCCCCCGUAGCACCUGUGUGGGAUUGUCCACUGCUCUUGAAAUGCAGUGCCUGUACUGUUGCUGUGGGUGUCUGCCUCCAGUGCCACCCGAUGGCCUACAGAUGAGGCACUUCCGUGCCAGCCAUAGCUCUUGCUGACUGGUUGGGACCCACCGCAGAAGACGGGCAUGGGCAAGAGUAUAAGAACCAAUCACAAAGACUGGGGUGUGGGAGGAGGUCAUCAGGAGGACGGGACUUCCAGUUCAUCUGUGAGCGGGACCCAGGCCACAAGAGCCUCCUCACGCCCUCUCCUGUCCUUGGAAUGUAUACUCUUCCACCAUCCUUACCGUGGGAGCCAUUUUCAAGAAUGCAGACUUCAGAGAGUAAUAGGUCAUUGAGACCGCCUGAUUGGUGUAUGUGGCUGAACCCACUUAUGGCCUCUGUAUCCCUUCAAGAUCCCGGCCAGUGGGUGUGGAGAUGGGCUCCUCUUAUAGCCACCCCAGACAAGCCUCAUAAGUAAGUCCCCUGGCUUACUAAACUUGCCACGUUUAGUGGCACAGUCGGUCUCUAUUUUUGCUCUCUCCUUGCCUUCUAUGUACAGAAGCCAGCUGGCAGGGCAAGAUCCUCCCUGGGUGAUGAUGGAAGAGGGAGAUUUCUUUGACACGUAAUUGACAGAUCUUUGGCCUUCCUUAACAGAGAGGACGUAGGCCUCUGGUGAUUAUAGAACAUGGGUGUGAGCUCCUCGGAAUAACUUUCCUUUCCACAUUCCCACCCUCCCCACCCCCCAUAUUCUUUGCUUACCUUUGAGGAAACCAUUUCUUUUCCUCAAGAUGUCAUCCCUGCCUCUUGCAGCUGGAACAAGCGCUUCUGGGUCAUUCUCCCUUUCCCUGGCCUUUUCAUUUCCUAACCCUCCAGUUGUCGUCAAUCCUUGUUACGCCUUGAGACAUUUAUAGAUCUGUCCUUAACUUUGCGACCUUUGCUGCUUCUGCUUUCUUCUCUCCUCCUCGUAAGAAGCUUUAAGCUGUUUUCUACGUUUCCCAGUUGAAACCCACUCCACCCACAUGUAAACUUUCAGGGAUCGCCGUUCCCUAGCCCUAUCCAUUAUUUUUCACCAAAUUGAAGCUAGGGUGUUUGUCUUCUAGUUGUUGUCAGUCGAAUACAAAAAACGGUUUGUCUUCAAGCUUAUAUUCAGCAGCCUUGCAAAAUUCACUUAAUUCUAACAAUUCAGGGGCGCCUGGGUGGCUCAGUGGGUUAAAGCCUCUGCCUUCAGCUCAGGGCAUGAUCCCAGGGUCUUGG